rnacentral:lncRNA from 1 species
CCCGUAUCAGGCCUCCUCAUUGACAUUGAGCCUAUUCAUAAAUGAAUGCUUGAUUGUGUCCAAUUCAGCUCGAGGAAUCCAUUCAGUAUUAGCUACAGUUCAGUUCAUUUUCUGUACCAACAGUAACAUGCAUGAUCAUUUCAGAAACACUCUGCAUCCAUCAGUAUCUAAAAUAGAUCUGUUAUUUCUAGGAAAAGGAAAGCCAAAGCUGACAAGAAAGCCCAUAUUGAAUAGUUCCCAAAUUUUAGAAACAUAUAUACUAACAGAAGGCUAGCUUACCAAACUGA